rnacentral:rRNA from 1 species
CCUACGGGAGGCAGCAGUAGGGAAUAUUGCUCAAUGGGGGAAACCCUGAAGCAGCAACGCCGCGUGGAGGAUGAAGGUUUUCGGAUUGGAAACUCCUUUUGUUAGAGAAGAGAAUGACGGUACCUAACGAAUAAGCACCGGCUAACCCCGUGCCAGCAGCCGCGGUAAUACGGAGGGUGCAAGCGUUAUUCGGAAUAACUGGGCGUAAAGGGAGCGUAGGCGGGAUAGCAAGUCAGAUGUGAAAUCCUAUGGCUUAACCAUAGAACUGCAUUUGAAACUGUUAGUCUAGAGUAUGGGAGAGGUAGGUGGAAUUCUUGGUGUAGAGGUGAAAUCCGUAGAGAUCAAGAGGAAUACUCAUUGCGAAGGCGGCCUGCUAGAACAUAACUGACGCUGAUGCGCGAAAGCGUGGGGAGCAAACAGGAUUAGAUACCCCUGUAGUC